UGUGGUAUAAUGAAAAGCAGUCUGGUGAUUAUUCCACAGAGAAGUUCUCUGCAGAUAAUAUUCAAUUUUACUUUAUUUUGGCAUCUUUUCAAAGGAGCUGCAAGUACAAUAUAAACAGCUGGACGAUGAGUUUCUUCAUUAUCCCUCCCCAGACAAAUAUGUAACUGCAGCCCUGUUUGAUGGGGAGUAGUGGUGAGAAAGCAGAGUUGAACAUCGUGCUACUCAGGUCUCCAAAUGGCAUUGUUACUCUAAAGUGCUGUAACAAGGAGUAACGACCGUGACUCCCUCCUCAUUACACUUCUUUACAGGGAGCUGGAUUUUUCAUGGAACUGCAAGAGAAAUGCCGGAGGGAGACUUUGGGAAUUGCUGGCUGUGUAUUCUGCUGGCAGCAGACGGGAAGGAUCGGGAUGAUUCCUGCACUUUUGAUGGGUUGUGCUGUCUCCAGAUAUUGCAGAAUCAUUGAGGCCAUAGAAUUUCCACCUGGAACUCGUAAAAAUGUUGGGGGCAAGCAGAAUUUCUGUCGAAAAUUUACCACGUUGAGGCACGUACUGAAUUAACUUCUUUUGUUUCCUCUUUAAAUGCU